rnacentral:lncRNA from 1 species
UCCCAUUGAUUGGUAAUUUAGAGUUCCAUCCUUGCUAAUGAUCUAGAGUCCCAUCUUCAUCCACUUUCCCAGACAAAAUUCGGGGUCUUCUUGUAUUUAACUAUCUUUUAUCACUAAAGCGAUUAAAGAUAUUUAAAUAGGGGCAGCUGUCAUACCCCAAAUUUUGACGUUCCUUUUAAUUAUUUUUUAUGCACUCUUCUU